AUUGAACGCUGGCGGCAGGCCUAACACAUGCAAGUCGAACGAGUGGCGGACGGGUGAGUAAUGUCUGGGAAACUGCCUGAUGGAGGGGGAUAACUACUGGAAACGGUAGCUAAUACCGCAUACCAUCGGAUGUGCCCAGAUGGGAUUAGCUAGUAGGUGGGGUAACGGCUCACCUAGGCGACGAUCCCUAGCUGGUCUGAGAGGAUGACCAGCCAGACGGGAACUGUGAAACGGGCCAGACUCCGACGGGAGGCAGCAGUGGGGAAUAUUGCACAAUGGGCGCAAGCCUGAUGCAGCCAUGCCGCGUGUAUGAAGAAGGACUUCGGGUUGUAAAGUACUUUCAGCGUGGAGGCGUUACCCGCAGAAGAAGCACCGGCUAACUCCGUGCCAGCAGCCGCGGUAAUAC
rnacentral:rRNA from 1 species